AGAGUUUGAUCAUGGCUCAGGAUGAACGCUAGCGGCAGGCCUAACACAUGCAAGUCGAGGGGCAGCAUUGGUACUUGUACCAGAUGGCGACCGGCGCACGGGUGCGUAACGCGUAUGCAACCUACCUAUUACUUAGGGAUAGCCUCUAGAAAUGGAGAUUAAUACCUAAUGGCAUCUAAAUACCUCCUGGUAUUAAGAUUAAAGAUUUAUCGGUAAUAGAUGGGCAUGCGUGACAUUAGCUAGUUGGUAAGGUAACGGCUUACCAAGGCUACGAUGUCUAGGGGAUCUGAGAGGACUACCCCCCCCACACUGGUACUGAGACACGGACCAGACUCCUACGGGAGGCAGCAGUGAGGAAUAUUGGUCAAUGGAGGCAACUCUGAACCAGCCAUGCCGCGUGCAGGAUGACGGCCCUAUGGGUUGUAAACUGCUUUUAUAUGAGAAGAAAAUUGUCUACGUGUAGACAACUGACGGUACCAUAAGAAUAAGGACCGGCUAACUCCGUGCCAGCAGCCGCGGUAAUACGGAGGGUCCAAGCGUUAUCCGGAUUUAUUGGGUUUAAAGGGUCCGUAGGCGGGCUUAUAAGUCAGAGGUGAAAUCCCAUCGCUCAACGAUGGAACUGCCUUUGAUACUGUAGGUCUUGAAUAUAUUUGAAGUAGGCGGAAUAUGUAGUGUAGCGGUGAAAUGCAUAGAUAUUACAUAGAACACCAAUUGCGAAGGCAGCUUACUAAGAUAUUAUUGACGCUGAUGGACGAAAGCGUGGGUAGCGAACGGGAUUAGAUACCCCGGUAGUCCACGCCGUAAACGAUGCUAACUCGGUGCUUGUCUACUUGAAGAUGAGUGCCAAAGCGAAAGUAUUAAGUUAGCCACCUGGGGAGUACGCUGGCAACAGUGAAACUCAAAGGAAUUGACGGG
rnacentral:rRNA from 1 species